GAUGAACGCUAGCGGCAGGCUUAAUACAUGCAAGUCGAGGGGCAGCACGAAUAGCAAUAUUUGGUGGCGACCGGCAAACGGGUGCGGAACACGUACGCAACCUUCCCAAAACAGGUGAAUAGCCCUGCGAAAGUAGGAUUAAUACACCGUACCAUAGUUUAGAGGCAUCUUUUUACUAUUAUAGGCAGCAAUGCCGGUUUUGGAUGGGCGUGCGCCUGAUUAGGUAGUUGGCGGGGUAACGGCCCACCAAGCCUCCGAUCAGUAACUGGUGUGAGAGCACGACCAGUCACACGGGCACUGAGACACGGGCCCGACUCCUACGGGAGGCAGCAGUAAGGAAUAUUGGUCAAU
rnacentral:rRNA from 1 species